rnacentral:rRNA from 1 species
UCUGGUGCCAGCAGCCGCGGUAAUUCCAGCUCCAAUAGCGUAUAUUAAAGUUGUUGCAGUUAAAAAGCUCGUAGUUGAAUUUCGGGGUUCUACCGUUGGUCGGGCUUAUUGUUUGUACUGGCGUGUAGAAUUUCUACCUUCUGGAGAACCAUCAUGUUAUUAAUUUAGCGUGGUGGGAAACCAGGACCUUUACCUUGAAAAAAUU